AUGAGCGAUGACACCGAGAAGGAACACAAGCUGGCCAUACAGUUUCUGAAGGAUGCCAUCCUCAAAGAAGCUUCGACGUCCAGCCUUUCUCGCACAGCAGAACCUUGGGAACAUCCCAACCAUCAACUAUAUCUUCACUACUCUGACCAACCAGGCGCAAUACUCGUACCUGGGUUACUUGCUGAAGAUAACUACUCGGAAUGGAGCCAAUCCAUGACAAACGCCUUGACAAUCAAGAACAGGGCUGGACUCGUGAAUGGAAGUAGUUCCAGACCAGCUGAAGAGAACAAUGAGCAGAUGCAAUGGGAUCGUGUGGACACGCUGGUUAGAACCUGGCUCACCGGUUCCAUGACAAAGGAGCUCUCAAAUAGUGUCAAACACUACAAGUCGGCUCGAGCCAUUUGGCUUGAGCUCCAAGAGAGGUUCUCUCAAACCAAUACUGUGCAAUUAUUCAAUGUUGAAAAUGCAAUUCAUGAAUGUAAACAGGGCAACGAGACUGUCACAACCUUCUACAACAGGUUGAAGGGUCUUUGGGAUGAAAGGGAUGCCCUGUGUGACUUGUCCACAGAAGGUGUCAAAGUUCAAAACUACAUCAACACCCAGAAGACAAUGCAGUUCCUAAUGGGUUUGAAUGAUAGCUUUUCAGUCAUUCGUGGAAGCAUCGUGGCUAUUGACCCUCUUCCGACCGUGAACAAAGCGUUUGCCAUAGCACUCCGCCAUGAAAAACAAGCAGAAGCCAUGACUGGCAGCAAAGGAUCCCCUGCUCAGCCUGAGGGCGCUGCCUUCGCGGUGCGUAAUGCGGCACAGGAAGAAAACUCUGAAGGGAGGAAGAAGUGUGCCAAAUGCAACAAAGAUAAUCACUCCACUAAGAACUGCAAAGCACACCUUAAGUGCACUUUCUGUGGCUUCAAAGGUCAUGUGAUUGAAGAUUGUAGAAAGAGAAAGGCAGCUUUGGAAGGCAUACAAGCACAAGCUAGAGGAAACAAUGUGUCCUCACUGUUUGACAAGGAAGGCAGCCCACGCAGCUUCCCUUUCUCCAAGGCCGAGUGCAAUGAAAUCUUCGAGCUCCUCAACAAAAACCGCACUGCAUCAGCAAAUCAUGCUGGUAAUACCUCAUCUUAUGAGGAACUCUCAGGUAAAGCUUUUGGCUUUCGUAAUGAUACAAAGACCAGUGUAUGGAUCUUGGAUAGUGGUGCCACCGAUCAUAUGUCUUCUUCUUCAGCUUCAAAUCCAGGUCAAACUAGGAUUACGGGCCAAACACAGUAUCCUCCUUCGUCUUGGGUUUCUACUGAACCACUGCCUAGAGUUUUUGAUGAUGAUCAACCUUGGGUUACUUCUUCGGGUCCAACACCACCACCACAUACCAAUCUUCCGCUGCCUGCACCCACACUUGAUCAAAAUGUUGUGCACCCUACUGUGUCACAACCACAACCAGACACCACCCCACUACCUGAGACUCCAACUCCUAGUUCACCACCUUCCCAUCCUGCUCCUCAACCUCGUCGGUCAUCUCGACCCACUCAGGUGCCCACAUUCUUGCAAGAUUUUCAUGUUGAUGCAGCACUACCCUCUCGGUCCCUCCCGUCGUCUUCACCGCCGUCAGGUACCCCUCACUCUCUUGCUAAUGUCAUCUCUUACCAUCGUCUUUCACCUUCACAUAGAGUUUUUAUAGCUAACCUUUCCAUACACAAAGAACCUGUUUCCUUCUCACAGGCAGUUCGCAUUCCGGAAUGGCAAGCCGCCAUGCGUGCUGAAGUUGCUGCCCUUCAAAGCAAUGGCACAUGGAGCUUGGUUCCUUUGCCUCCACACAAGAGACCUAUAGGCUGCAAAUGGGUCUACAAGAAAUCCAACUAUGUUAAUGUCUACAUGAAAUGGAAGAAAGACUCAUACUUUGACACCAUUGAGCACAUUGACAAGUCCAUAGUGCUUAAACCCAUCAUAAACCUCAAGAACUGCAUUACUGAGGAUCCCAAUGGCUGUAUCCCAAUCUAUCAAGUGUCCAAAAGGGGUUUUGCAUUAGAUGUACCCAUGAAGGUUGCCAAGUUUUUGAGGAAAUACCCAUCAAUUUUUGAACAAUUUUCUGGGGAAUACAAUUAUCCCUGGUUUAAAUUGACCCCCAAAGCAGCUGAGAUUGAUAAGGAGGAGAAGAGGGUUUAUGAGGAUUGUAGGGAGGAUUUGAGGGAUAGGCUGAAAAAGUUGAUCUUGAUGAGUAUAGAAAAGGUUUUGCCUUUGAAGAUUAUUCAGGGGAUGGAGUGGUAUUUGGGUUUGCCUUUUGAUUUUUUGCACUAUCCCGAAAAAAAUCUGGACGGGUCUUUUAUGUUUGUGAAAAUGGAAGAUGGGUUAGAGGGAUUAGCUGUUAACAGUGGUGAAAAGGUCUUGUCUGUGGUGCAAAGGAAUGCAAUGAAAAAGAGGGUGUAUUCUGGAGGCCCAACGGAGGCAGUUGAGUUUCCGCGUUUCCCUUCCAAGGGUUUGAGGCUGAGGAACAAGAUUAAAGAUUGGUUAGAGGAGUUUCAGAAACUUCCCUAUGUUUCACCCUAUGAGGAUUCUUCACACUUACAACCGGAUUCUGAUGCAUCUGAGAAACGAUGCAUCGGAUUCUGUGGGGCUUCUUCAUGAGUUGCUUAGUCUAUUUGUUGAGCAUUCAGCAGAGAGGAAGAAACUAUUGUGUCUUAAGAAGUAUAUGGGACUUCCGCAGAAAAUGCACAGAGCAUUUGAGAGACAUCCCGAGAUUUUCUAUUUGUCUCAUAAGAACAAGACUUGUACGGCAAUUCUUAAAGAGGCUUACUGUGAUGAGUAUGCUAUUGAGAAGCAUCCGCUGUUGCAAGUGAGAAAGAAGUAUAUUAUGUUGAUGAGGGAGUCCCAGUGA